UGAGGGAAAGCUGCAAAGUACUCUGAAGAGAGAGUUCAAAAGGACGUGAAGCCGUCUGCAGGGAAACGGGUGAGACCGCACGGUAGACCCGCGGCGGAUUCAGCUCGGGGAGAAAUCUCCGGGUGCACUUCCGCGCCUGCGGGUCGCGCAGGGCCCGACUCUGCGGCCGUCUGAAGCCCGGCGAGGAGGUGACGGGGUUCUUCGGGACUCCGAGUUUAACUCGUCGGCGCGGAGACCGGCUGCGGGGUCGAGGAACGUCCAUCUGUCUUUGACGCGUGGG
rnacentral:rRNA from 1 species